CAUAGGACCCUGACUCAUGUUCCUCCCUGGGAGAAGACGACACUUCUCACCCUAUUCCAUCAGUAGUGAACUUUCCAUUGGCCAGUGGAAUGUGAGCAGAAGUGACACAGGUCUUGCUUGAGAAGUUGGAUGCCAUUCCAUGAUUUUAUUAUAAGACCACAAGUCCCAGAUAGACCUACUCCUCUCCUUUAAUUUGGACCUCAGAAAGAAGAUACUGUGGAGCAGAACCACAACUGUCCUGGGAAGGGUAAGUAGCAUGAGCAAGACAGGAGACUUUAUUUUUGUGAGAUUUGGGACUGUUUGUUACGACAGUGCAACCUAGGGAAAGCUAAUUCAUAACAUCCCUGAUGGCACAAGGGCAUUGCCACACCUCUCUUGACUGCUUACUUCAGACUACUUGCUACUUGAGGAGUAACUUGUGUUUGGCCACUGUUAAUGUGAGACUGUGGUAAUGCUCUUUAAUGUCAGGAAAAUACUGGAUACAUUUUCCCCCCUCCCUGUUAUCUCCUCAAUGCUUCUCUCCAGAGAUAACCUGUGUAUUAGCCCCAAGGGUAGCUUUCUGUGUCUCAGGACUGGGACUAAGGUAUGGCAAGGGAGGAAACUUUGAAUGCAGAAUUUAAGGAGACCCUCACUCCCAGGCUCAUACAAAGCUGGCCCUUCUAUGAAGCAGAGAUUGAGAACUUCCUUAAAUUUAGCCCCUGGGACCCCUGGCUUUCCUGGUCUCCUUGGCCCUGCUGUUUUGCAUCUGUUUAUGUGGGCAAUGAUACAGUCAUUUUUCAAAAGUGAGAUGACUUAUAUUUUACCUUGAUUUGCAUUAAAAAAAACCUCAACAAUGAGUCAGAGCAAUCUAUUGUGUCAAUUCCCCACAAAUCUAUCUAAAAAUUUUAAUGACCAGAGCUUAGCCAUUUUCCUACCAAGGAUGUACAUUUUAAUCUGCCAUCACAAUGAAUGCUGCCCAACUAGGUGACCUGGGGCUUAUAUACUUUCAAGUAUUUCCAGCAAAUUCUAGAAGUAGCAAUACUGGGAAAGGGGUAUUUAGGUUAAAGGAUUUGAAAGUUAAAGCCCAAGCACCCUUCCAAAGUCUUAUAUCAGCUCAUGUUCCCACCAACAGUGCAGAGUAUUAUAUAUGAUGGUGUGCACUUUUACAUUAGAACUAUCUGCAAGAUUGCUUCAAAUAGCCAACUUUCUUGGUACUUACGAUUUCCCCAAAUUAGAUUCACAUGGCAUUUUCUGGCAUCUGUUAGGAUAGAGCUGAAUGGUCUGGCUGAAGCGUGCGUGCUGCCUUUGGGGUCAGCCCCCUACCUGCUGUGGAGCUCAGCUGGGCAGGGAUUCCUCUGGCUUGUCCUACGGGCUUGGAGCGGGUCUGUGUUGGCAGUGGGAACCAGGCAAUCUGUAAGGUUCCACCAUGGGUCAACAUUCCAUAAUUUCUAUCCACUCUCUCCUAGGAUUGGAACGGGAUCACAAGUCCUUUGGGGGCAUUAGGAGGUGACAGCUCUUGGAAAUAACUUCUCGAAUGCAGAAGGCUUUGUGGAAUCUCAGUCUCUAUCUUUUCAAAGAAAGUAACAAUGUGGAACAGUGCUAGGCCACCUGGCAGGUGGCAGGGUGCUGGACCCGGGGACCACCUGAGAGUCUUGAAAUCCCUUACUGUCUCUCUCUUACACAUUCCCUAACCACCCUGGAUGGAGGCCAGUUCCUCUCCAUUCAUCUUCUAAACCGAGAGUUGGCUGACUAGGGCCUGUGGGUCAAAUCCAGCCGGUAGCCUCUUUUUGUAAUAAUGUCUUAUUGGAAUAUAGUCCUGUUCAUUUGUUUGUCAAUUGCCUAUGGCUGAUUUUGCAACUGCAGAAUUAAGUAGUUGGGAUAGAUAGUGUGGCCUGCAAAAGCUGAGAUAUUUAUUAUCAGGCCUUUUCUACACAAAACAUACCAUCCUUCUCUGUCUUUUACAUUUAUUCCCUCUUCUUCCUGUAGUUCCUCACGUCUUGCCUGGACUCCUGCAGUAGCCAACAAACUGGGUUCAGCUGGAGUUAUCUUUCUUAAGUGCAUAUGUAAGGAGGGCAGGUCCUCAAAGGCCUCCAUUUCUCCUAGUGCCCACGAUCUGAGUGGCAUGUGGUCUAAGAUCCUGUAGAGUCUGCAGCCACCUCUGCUCUCUCAUUUGCUUGGGCCCACAAAUACUCAGGUAUAUUCCCAGUCACUACAAACUCUUGUAUUUCCUGAGAGUGUCACUCCCUAUCUCACCCCUUCUGCUUUUACUCAUGCCGGGAUCCUUGCCUGGGGUCUCGUCCACCAAAUGCACUGUCCCUUCUUCAGGGAUGCAUGUUUGGACACCUACAUUAACAAGACAUUCUUGCUCCUCGUAAAGCUCUCGGGCACAUCUCUGCUGCAGUGCUUAUGUGGCAUUAUUUGUAAUUGUAUGUGUCCCUCACUGAGCGUGAGCGCCAGCGUGCAGGGAGCUUGUCUCAUUGUCCUCAGCAGUUAGCAGUGUCUGUCCUGUACUGGUGGCUGAAGAGAUGUUUGUUGAAUGACUAAGCGCCAGUCUUCCCAUGGCUCUUGCUGUUUGCCAAUAUGCCACAGGCAUGGGUAUAUUCUCAUUUUACAGAUGUGGUAACUAAGGGUGCAGAGACGUGAAGUCACUUGCCCAGGGCCGCAGAGCUUGCCAGGAUUUGAACCAUAGUAAAGAGGCAGCAUGGAGAAUCUCAAGUUCUAAGUCCCUCGUUAAUGAGCAAAUGAGUAAAGGAAUGAGUUCAGUGAGAUGCUGUGAACUGAGGAUAGGAAAGGUAAACGCUACACGACCUCAUGAAACCCAUUAGUAGAGUUUAUAAAAGAAAAACACAGAGAUUCCAGGAGACCUGGCAGAGAUGGAGACUAUGGGGAUCAACAGUCCACAGAGUUCAGGGAGAGUUUAAGGCAAGUGAAAAGAAAUCAAACCAUCCUGUGAAUUUCUUGGAAGUUUCUUUUUGGAAGGAACGGUGGGGCCACAGUUAAACUAACAAGGCCUACCCCUAAGGAAGAAAGGGCACCAACCUUGGCAUUUAUGGUAUGCCUUCUAAAUGCCUGACACUGUGCCAGUGAGCUGCACCUAUGCUGGCUGUGAAUGAAAAAUUGACCCCUCCCCAUAAAACCUUUCUGACUCAAUAAAUUUUCAUUGAGCAGCUACUAUAUGACAAGCCCUGGAUCCAGAUGCCAAGAGAACAAAAAUGAAUGGCAGUCUAGGGGUGUCCAGUGUUGCAGAGACAGAUGAGAAUACAAUUCUAACAACGUGGUCAGCGUUAUCAGAGAGGUACACCCAGGAGCAGAGGGGAUCCAACUCUGCCUGUAGACGGAGAGAAAGAUUUCAAGACAGCAGCGAUUGGUUUGGGUUUUGAAGAAUGAAUAGAAGUUUGCCAGGUGAACUAGGCAGGGAAGGACUUCCAGAGAAAAAGGCCCAGUGAGGCGUGGCAAAGGGAGGUCAACCAGGGAGGAUCUCAUGGGACAUGCUUUGAGCUUGGUUUUGACCUGCAAAGUGACCAAAAAAUUGCAAAAGGGUUUUGAGGAGUUUUUAAAUUUUUAUUAUUUUAAAAAUAAUUUGCAAUUAUUUUAAAAAUGUAUGUGCAUGACAGUUGUGUGGCAGAAACAAAGAGGCACAACUGGAAGGAGGGAAAACAGCUAGGAUUGCUGUAGUCCAAGUGGAAAAUAAUAAAGUCUUUGAAAAAGCUCAGGUUAUUAAGAUCCUCCUUUAAGGGGGCUACACAUACACAGAGACAACAGUGUGGUCUGAAUUUUGAGAGUGCAUACACACACACACAAAAAAAAUGUUCUAUAUUCAAAUGUUAGAAUAAAAGUAUCCAAUAUAAACAGAAAAUAUGGACAACAGCUCUAGUCCUAUUUAGUCUUUGAUAAGUGCAUGUGUUCUGUAAGUUGCAAAUAGGGAGGGGAAGGUAAGAAUCAAGGUCAGUUAAGGCAAAGGUGAGAAAAAUAGUGUAUUAGCUAUAUGUUGCCGUGUAACAAGUUAGCCUCCCCCUCCAAGGUUAGCAGCUUAAAACAGCCAACAUUAUCUCACAGUUUCAAUAGGCCAGGUACUUGGGUAUGGCUCUGUUGGGUGUUUUUAGUUUGGGGGUAUUGUGAAGCAGUCAGGUGAGGUGGUGAGUCUUCAUUUGGGGCUGAAGAAUUGGAUUCCAAGAUGGUUUGCUAAUGAAGCUGGCAAAUUUAUGCUGGUGUUUAGCAGAAGGCCUCAGUUCCUCAUCAUCAAGGCCUUCCCAUAGGAUUGCUUGAGUGUCUUUGUGACGUGUACCUGGCUUUCCCCAUGGCUUUUCUCCUACUCGCAGCAGACAUCGCUUCUUCUGCAGACAUCUCUCUUCUCCAAGAGAGAACAGAAGAAGGCAAAUGAAGCCAUGUCUGCUGCGAGUAGCCUUGGCUGUCAACCGCGGUCAUCGCGAUAGCUGUUGGUUGUGCUCUUGGUCCUAUUGGUUGUGCUAACCAGGGGGCAAGCUGGGUGGGGUAGUGUGAAGGAGAAGGAGAGAGAUUUGGAGAUGGAAAUCGAUGGAUCAUCGUCACCCUGCCAUCCCAUGUCUCAGCCUCCUCUUCUGGGAAAUGAAGCUCCGACUCCAAACCCUGUUGGAGUGCAAAGACCAUUUGAGAAAAGGCUUGCAAAAUGCUUUUUUUGAAGCAUAAAGUGCUGUGGCAUGGCCUUGUACUGGGACUGUGUGAACAGGAGGGGUCUUUAUGAGAGUCCAUAUUUUGUCCAGAUGGCAAGUUUGGCCUUGACAAACCUGGGAGCCGUGCACAGAGGGCUCUUCAUCUCUUGCUCCGGUGGCUGUAGAAAUCCAAUAAAUGACACUUCUUGAUCUCUGCUUCUAGAUGCUGGGAGCAGCACAAUAAUGACUUCAUUUCAUUCUCUCAGUGAGUCUCAGACAGGGCAUCUGUGUAGUGCACCUUGUGAGUGAGGAAACUGAGGUUUAGUUACAUCACUUGCUUUGAACAUGGAGUCUGGGAUGCAGGUGGCCCUGGUGCCUGAGAGCAAGGCAAAUGAGAGACGGGCUCUGAAAGCCAGAGCAGUGUCCCUCUUGCCUAUAUCUGGGGCCUGGGACACCUUCAUAGCUGGGUUUUGCAGGCUUGCAGAAAGGGGAACAAGGAACCAGUUUCCUCCUACCCCUGAAUACCUCAGCACCCUUGGCCCUGGGUUGAUGAAGGGUCCUGUGUGUGGGUGUGUGUGAGCACACCAACAACUGCUGCCCCCAGGCUGAGGAUUAGGGUGAUGGGCCCUACUGGGCCCUCUGGAGCUGGACACAGGCCAGAGCUGCACGGCACAGGGCUCUGGCCUCCUGGGAGUGCAGGUCUCAGGCCAUUCUCAGAAAAGCAUUUUGUAGCAAGGCCACUCCAGGUGCCAGGCCAGACCAUCAAUCCCUCACUUUUCGGAGCAGUGAGUUUAUAAAGUAGCAAUUAAAUAAGAGCUCUGUAAGUGCUUCUGGGAACUGCCCUGAAUGCAUUUUCCAAACAUAAAUAACGGGGGACCUCCACUCCGAGCAAAGCAUGCGGAGGGCCGAGAAGCAGCGCUGGAAAGAAGAGAGCCCUGUUGUGCUAACGAGUUGGGCUACGUGCCCCUGGUGUGCACGUGUGCUCCGUGUAGGUGGCAAGGCCAUUUGUCUCACUCGCCUGGGUGGCACGCCAGCCUGCCUGGACAGGUCGUGGUGAGGAAGGGUGGCUGUGGCUCCCACCCUGCUAGGAAGGCAGGACAUUCUCAUAUCAGAGUCAGUGAAGAUGAUGGCAGAAGCAAGAACAAUGGCAGCCUCUAUCUGCUGAGCACCUACUAGGUGCCAAAGGCCACAGGUUCCCUGAUGAUCGGGAGGUUUACAGACUUGUUCAAGGUGACAAAGCCUGUAAGGUGGGGGUGGGGGCAGUGAGUCCAAAUGAGAACUCUCAUCAUCUUCACUAUAAAGGCACUUAGAUGACAGAGACUGCUCUAAGAGUUUUCUCUUAAGUUUCCCAACAAAUCUGCGAAGUAGGUGUUGACCCAAUCCUAUUUUGAAGGGGAAAACUGAGGCCUGGAAAAGUUGAAUCUCUAGUUCAGAGUCACACUAAGCCAGCAUUUGGGCCCAGGCAACUGGGCUGCAGAGGUGCUGCAUCUGAACUCUGGUACCAGGUGAUUAUGGUCAACUGUCUGUCUCAGCAAAGUUGGGUUCAGAGAGCAGCACUGGGUCAGUCGUACCCAUCUGCCCUCUUUUCCACAGAGGCCCUCCUGGUCCCGUUUCUAGCCUUGGCCGAGAGCAUCCUCCCAGUCUCUCCUGUGGGUUCCCUUAGUGAUGCCGGGAUGGGAUGGGCCCCCCCUUAUCUGCUCUCACACCUUGUGCCGGCACAUUGCCCGGGUCCCCUGUCCCCUAUGUCUGCCCAUGUAUGAAGGGUCACUCACUCUAUAAAGUAUUUCCUGCCAGGUGUGGUGGUGUACACCUGUAAUCCCAGAGACUCAGAAGGCUGAGGCAAGAGGAUCUCAAGCCUGCCUGGGCAACUUAAUGAGACCUUGUCUCAAACACACACACACACACAGAACAGCACCCUGGGUUCAAUCCCUCGAUCACACACAGAAGUAUUUUCUGACCCACUUAACUGAAUGUCCUUCCUCUGAAUACUUGCGUCAGUGUGUGUAUUUAUUCUGUCUCUCUGGAUUCUGUAACUCCUCUCAUGGUGCCUGGCACAUAGUAGGGAUUCAACAGACAUUGGUAGGUGAGUGGAGCCAUUUCCUGGCAUAGAUGGACAAUCAGAUCACUGAGUUUCCAACAGUGCUUGCAAGACUCCUCAGCCAGAGCAGGACCCAGGGGAACAAGACCUGACCUUGGCUUUGCCAUUAACUUUCUGGGUAACUUGGCCACUUCAUUCCUUCCUCUGGACUCAGUUUUCUCAUCCAUAAGACGGGAUCAUUUAUACCUUCUCGGCAAUUUUCUUGAGGGGUAAAUAGGAUAUAGAAAGCAAAGAUACCCUGCACAUAAUGGACUUUUAAGAAAUGCUAGUCCCCCCCGCCACCCCAUCCCUAUUAAAUAGACUCUCAGGAGAGUGGAGGAUAGAGAUAAUUGAAUGGCACUGUGAAAUGCCCUUUGCAAUGCAUGCCUCUGUGGAUCACCAUGGUCCUUCCAUCCCACCGAGGUGGGGUCUCUUUACUUUCUGCAGAAGAUUCAGUCAAAACAAAACUUCUUUCCCUUCCUUUCUCAGGGACCUGGAGUGGAUUCUGGCUACCAGUUCUUUGUGGUGUCCCCCCUGAGUGCUGUCUUCCCAGCCGUCUCUCACCAGAGGAUCCCAUAGUAUAAACCCCAUCAAGAAUCUGGCCCCUGUUCAUUCCCGAGCUAGGAGUCAGUGAUUUCCCUGUCUUUGACAGACUCCAUCCGAGUUGCCAGUGAUUAAGAAACUCAUAUAUUUUCACACUCAUUAAAAGAAACAUGAUGUUCACUCUUCCAAGAAAAGCCAUCCUUGUUUGUAGACCCUGUAAUAUAUUGGGAACGCCUCUUAAUUGGCUUCUAGGACUCAGUGUCAGAAGUCAGACCCAAGUUUGUUUAUUGACACAAGGAAAAAAAUAAAACGUUGUAUAAUUAGUUGAGUGACUGACUCUAAAUUCAGUAACUCCCAUCGGUAUGUGGCCUUGUCAGGGUUUAAGAUUCCAUUUUGGGUUAUGAAAGAGGCCGGGUCCAGGUAGUCCAGACGCGGCUGCACUGCAUCAUAGCUAUUGUACAAAUGGGCUCAGUGUGCUGUUUGUGUUAAGAUGGAAAACUUUUACAUGUUUGAUUUUUAUGCAAGUCAAUUAACUUGUUUUUUAUAACUGUAAGGGCUUGCUUUGCAAAUAAGAUUACUUACCACUAUAAAUUAUGGGAACAUAGGGGCCUAUUCAGACAAAAUGUUACACACCCCUAACCCGUGCACCAAGCUGCUUGCUGGCCUUCUGCAGGGGGACAGCUGAGGCAAAUGGGACCUGCUGAUGGGGAGGUGGAGGAGGAGGAGGGAGGGGUUGUUUUUGUGCAUUCUGAAGGACCCUUCCAAGAAGGAUGCAAAAGGGGUCUGGAAGUCUGGGGGUGGAGGUAAAGGAAUGAACCAGAAUACCGUGCUCUGUGCUUGGCCCAGGGCCAUCCUGGCUCUCCAGCUGGUGCAGAGGUGGCCAAGACCUUUCCUUGCAGGACAAUGCAAGAAUCUCUCAUUUGGAGGUGUUCCCCCUCCCACAAAUGUUUGCUUCUUGGUGACAGUACCUCUGCCUGGAGUUUGAAAUUUGGGGCGGGGCUGAGUCUGGGGUUUAUCCUCACUGCUGUUUCGUCACCUGUUGUGCAACAAUGCUCAUCCUAUCCUGGCAUCCAGUGGGCACCCCCCUCUGGCAUACAGGGAGGGGUGAGGGUAGGCCAUGGGGCGGAGGGGGAGGGAGACAGGCGCCAGCAUUUCUGCAAGAUGCCUCAAUGGUGGAGAGGGGCAGAGCAGGCAGGAAAGGAGAGAGGAGAGUCGUCUUGGGUCCCCGUGACUUACCCCCUCCCUGUACAGUUUUAGUAGCAGGCUCUGUAGUUCUGGAAGGUGAAGUUGUCUCCCAGAUCCCUUUGGGAGCUUAGGUGCAUUCUUUCUUGUUCAGGAUCUCAGAGUUUUCCUCAUCUGUGAAAUGGGAGCAGAAUCUCUGGCCUGGCAUAACUUCCAGGGACACAUGGUUACGUGCAAUCUUCAACUGGGUGAUUUUGCCUCCCAGCCCCAGAGACAUUUGGUGAUGUCCAAAGACAUUGUGGUUGUUACAACUGGAGGCUGGGCCCUGGUAUCUAGGAGUUCAAGGCCAAAGAUUCUGCUAAAUAUCCAACAAGGUGCUGGUUAACCGGCCACCCCAAACACAGAGUUAUCUGAUCCAAAAUGAUAGCAGCGUAGAGUUUGAGAAGUCUGUGGCUCCAAGGCACAGGAGGGAGAAAGACUUCUGGGGGCUGAUCGGUAUUUGGGAUGGAGUUUAGUUGACUGUAGACUCAAUAUGGACCAUCUGGUCACUCAGGAACAAAGGAAGAGGUCUUCAGCAGUAUCGGCUCACAAACACUGGCUAUCACUUCUGAUCUGGUGUUUUUAGAUGCACGUGGUUCUGUUAGUACCUCACAGCAUCACCAUGGGGCACAGCUAUGCCAUAACAAAUAUCAUAUCAUAAUCCUAAUAAGAACUGGGAUUUUUCAGUCCUCAUUCUGCUGAUAAAGAAAUCUGGUUUUAAAAAGACAAAGACAAUUGUCUAAAAUCACAUCGGGAGCCUUCCAGCACUCGAUCCUUGUCACAUCCUGCAGGACUCUGGAUGCAUAUUACAUUACGAAAUAACUGAUUUUGAGGCAAAGCCAAAAGUCAUUGUUAGGCAUUUCGUCACCACAUUUGCAGCUAUAUCCCCAAGGGAGGCUUGCCUUCUCAAGACAAUCCUGCUUCCUGCAUAUACCAUGAGACUUGUACCCAUUUUUUUUUUGAGAGGGAGAGAGAGAGAGAGAGAGAGAGAGAGAGAGAGAAUUUUUUAAUAUUUAUUUUUUAGUUUUCGGUGGACACAACAUCUUUAUUUUAUGUGGUGUUGAGGAUCAAACCCAGAGCCCUGCGCAUGCCAGGCAAGCACGUUACCGCUUGAGCCACAUCCCCAGCCCUUGUACCCACUCUUAUUGGGCCAGAGGUCAUGGCCUCCAUGUCUUUCACCUCUGUUGAAUGAGGGGCCCUUUGAGGGUAGGGGUCGUAUCUUAAUUGUCUUGACAGGCCCCUUCAAGCUGUAGUUUCCUCUUUCAGAAAAUAGGACAAUGGAUUCUACCUCACCUGGCAGACCUCUGUCCAAUGCUAUGAAACACCUGGAUAAAGCAAGAAUGGUGGCUUUCUCUAGUGCCCGAGACUCCAGGCCUUACCCGUCUCCUUAUUCUUUCUUCCUUGCUUGCUUGAGGUCACUUUUGGUUGCCAAGAGGUAGAGAAAGCAAAGGAUUUGUGCAGAGUGGGAAUUCUGAGGAUUCUAUUUUUUGUUAUUCAAUAAAGUCAAUAACAGGGCUUAUGGAAAACUGGGGAUUGUAUGUGUCAAGGGAAUUGGUCUUUGUGAAUCUGGUUUUCAUAAGUAAUAAAAAUCACUGGUGCCAUUUCAACUCAAAAAUCAUUUCUGCUCUGGCUCCUCAGAUCAUCCAAGGAUCAGAUGUCCCCAAAGAGAUGACAAGUCAAACUGCCACUUGGCAGACCUGGAAAUCACAGAAUGGUUAGCACCGGUGUCUUCACUUAUGAUGAGAUUCAUGUCUGAUGGGAUGUGUUCUCCCCUGCGCUGCUCAGAAAGUGUGCUCAUUGGAUGGAGGCCUCAGAAAACUCAUCUGACAUGUUGGCCAUAACUUUAUCCAAGUCUGAAUUCAACAUCAUUAUGCAGUCAAUUCGAUACUAGAUGCUGUGGUAUAAAAGUGAAAAAGACAAAGCUCUGUUGUCCAGGUCAUCAAUGGCUUUGAGGACAUACUCAUUCAUUCAUUUAUCUUAUAAAUCAUUUUUUAGCAUCUUUCGUGCAGGGAGCUGGGGGCUCCCAAGAAAAUUAUCCUCUGUGAGUUUCAAUCUUUCUUUCUAUAUAAUAGGAAUAAUAAAACUUUCAUUGUAGUAUUAAAUGCCCAUUUUCAGGCAUAAAGUCAAUAUUCAAGUAAUGAUUGUUACUAUUUCUACAUUCUAAAAAGUUGUGAUUUCACAGUAGCAGUCGUGGUAUAAAAGGCAUAAAUAAAAUUUUUUAGCAAGAAUGUGAGAAUUAACAUUAGCAUGUUAAUGACUCUAAAUACAGACCCUGUAAAAGAUCUUGGAAGGUUCCCCAGAGGAGAAGAGACAGGAGUCUCAAGGACAGAGAAUCCUAGAUCCUAGCUAGAGUCAAGAUUAAGUUCUACUUCUUCCUUUCAGUUCAGC
rnacentral:lncRNA from 1 species